ensembl:lincRNA
AUCUUCCAGAGGGAGCAGUGAAGGGGCUCUGCAAAUUGUUCUGCUUGACUCUGCAUCGAUAUAGGUGAGUCCCAGCCAAAGGCCCCAUAUGUGGAGCACUUUGUACAGAGAGGGGAUUUAGGGUAGUGGUUAGAGCCCAGAUUAGAGCCAGACUGCCUGGUGCCAAAUCUGGGCUAUGUCACAUCCUAGCCAUUAGAUCCUGGGCAAGUUACUUAACCUCUCUGUGCCUCAGUUUCCUUGUCUGCAGAAUGGGGAUGGUGCCAUUCUCUAUCUCAUGGGUGGUUGUUAGUAAGCGUGAGGUGCCUGGAACAGUUGCCUGCUGUGCCAUAGUGGUCAUUGUGUUUAUGCUGCCAUUUAGUCAUGUGUGUUAAAUCGUCUGGCCUACUUUGAGACCCUUAUAACUGCUCCAUAAAUGUAGGUGCUGCCCUUACACACUCAAUGGCUUAUUUGCCCUUAUGAGAUACUUUUAGAACUCUAGGAGGAGGUGAGUUUAUCUAGUUAUUUCCUAAUCCCUUCUCUGUUAUCCACUGGAAUAUGGUGUGAUCAGUUUCUCCUGAGAAAGACCAGUGUAUGGCCUGAGCAGCCUUGCCCCUGCCUCUGCCUGAGGUCUGCAUGUUCACCUUUUCCUUUGCCUCUCCCCCUAGAGAUGCAGCCUCCCGCAGGGCCUUGCAGGCAGCCAUCCAGCAGUUGGCUGAGGCCCAGCCAGAAGCCACUGCUAAGAACCUUCUACACUCUCUGCAGUCUUCUGGUAUAGGCUCCAAAGCAGGUGUUCCCAGUAAGAGCAGUGGCUCUGCCGCCUUGCUGGCCUUGACCUGGACCUGCCUCCUGGUGCGCAUUGUCUUUCCAUCGAGAGCCAAGCGACAAGGAGACAUCUGGAACAAACUGGUGGAAGUGCAGUGCCUGCUCUUGCUGGAGGUGCUGGGUGGCUCCCACAAGCACGCCGUGGAUGGUGCUGUGAAGAAACUCACGAAGCUGUGGAAAGAGAACCCUGGGCUGGUGGAACAGUACUUGUCAGCCAUUCUCAGCCUAGAGCCCAACCAGAACUAUGCCGGCAUGCUGGGGCUGCUAGUGCAGUUCUGCACGAGUCACAAGGAGAUGGACGUGGUCAGUCAGCACAAGAGCGCCCUACUGGACUUUUACAUGAAGAACAUCCUGAUGAGCAAAGUCAAGCCUCCGAAGUACCUGUUGGAUAGCUGUGCCCCUCUGCUCCGAUACCUGUCCCACUCAGAAUUUAAGGAUCUGAUACUGCCCACCAUACAGAAGUCCUUACUGAGGAGUCCAGAGAAUGUUAUUGAAACUAUUUCUAGUCUGCUGGCAUCAGUGACGCUUGACCUCAGCCAGUAUGCCAUGGACAUCGUGAAAGGACUGGCUGGUCACCUGAAAUCCAACAGUCCCCGCCUGAUGGAUGAAGCUGUGCUGGCACUGCGGAACCUGGCACGCCAGUGCAGUGACUCUUCGGCCAUGGAAUCCCUGACCAAGCACCUAUUUGCUAUCCUCGGAGGUGAGCAAGCCUUCUUGGCCAUGCGGGUGGUUGAGGCGUGGCCCCUGGUAUUUCCCUCAACUGGGAUCUGAAGGGGACUUGAUGCUCCAAGUCUGCCUGUGGCAAGGCUGUGUGGCCAGGAGGACGUCACACUGGAAUGAGAAUGUGUGUGAAUGAACAAAACCCUGCACGGGGUGGUGUGGAUGGGGUGAUCUCAGGUUUUUCGUUUUUAAGAUACACAUUUUUGUAGGCAUAGCAGAAAAAACUAAAGGAAAUACACCAGAGAAGAAAUGUCUUUGAGUAGUGGAGACAUGAGUGCUUUAAAUGUUUUUCUUUAUAUUUUUUCUGUUUCUCAAGUUUUUUGUAGGAACAUUCUUUUUUGAGUCAGAAAGCAAAAGGCUAGUAAAAGUUGUUUUAAACCCAGCUUCACAACACAAAGGCUACUUCUGGAAUCAGAAACCGUAUCGUGGCAUCACACACGUGACUGCAUUGUUCACUCUCUUGGGAAAUGUGGCAUAUGUGAAUGUGAAUCUUUGCUGUCUCUCUUCUCAGGCUCGGAAGGAAAACUAACUGUUGUAGCCCAGAAGAUGAGCGUCCUCUCAGGUAUAGGAUUUCUCUUUUUUUUUUUUUUUUUUUUUUUUUGAGAGAAAGUCUUGCUGUGUCAUCUAGGAUAGAGUGCAGUGGUGCCAUCUCAGCUCACUGCAACCUCUGCCUCCCAGGUUCAAGCGAUCCUCAUGCCUCAGCCUCCUUAGUAGCUGGGAUUACUGGUGCGCACCACCACGCCUGCUAAUUUUUUUGUAUUUUUAGUAGAGAUGGGGUUUCACCAUAUUGGCCAGGCUGGUCUUGAACUCCUGGCGUCAAGUGAUCUGCCCGCCUCAGCCUCCCAAAGUGCUGGGAUUACAGGCAGGUACAGGAUUUCUCUGCCAGGAGUAGAGCUGUGAUCUGGUAGUAGAUAAGCUUUUUUUUUUUUUUUUUUUUUUUUUUGAGAUGGAGUCUCACUCUGUCGCCAGGCUGGAGCGCAGUGGCACAAUCUUGGCUCACUGCAACCUCUGCCUCCUGGGUUCAAGCAAUCCUCCUGCCUCAGCCUCUUGAGUAGCUGGGACUACAGGCACACACCACCACAUCCAG